GACGAACGCUGGCGGCGUGCUUAACACAUGCAAGUCGAGCGAUGAAACACCUUCGGGUGCGGAUUAGCGGCGAACGGGUGAGGAACACGUGAGGAAUCUGCCUUCCACUCUGGGAUAACUCCGGGAAACCGGGGCUAAUACCGGAUACUUUCAACUGGCGGCAUCGCCGGUUGAAUAAAGUUUUUCGGUGGAAGAUGACCUCGCGGCCUAUCAGCUUGUUGGUGAGGUAAGGGCUAUGCAAGGCGACGAAGGGUAGCCGGCCUGAGAGGGCGACCGGCCACACUGGGACUGAGACACGGCCCAGACUCCUACGGGAGGCAGCAGUGGGGAAUAUUGGGCAAUGGAGGAAACUCUGACCCAGCGACGCCGCGUGAGGGAUGAAGGCAUUCGGGUUGUAAACCUCUUUCAGCAGGGAAUAAGCGAAAGUGAAGGUACCUGCAGAAGAAGCACCGGCUAACUAUGUGCCAGCAGCCGCCGUAA
rnacentral:rRNA from 1 species